CUAGGAUGUGGAGGAGGUGAAGCGAACACGGGCCGUUGUGGCUAGGAGGUGAGCUGCUCAUCCUCGAUCUGGAGAAGGGGAAGGCAGAGGUGAGCAGGAUCCCCUCAAUUCUUGACAUGCUUACUAGUUAAUUUUAUAUGACUAGCUUCUGAACCCGAUAUUGCAUUAUGUGCGUCGAGAAACAUACAGUUUUAUAUCCUUAUUUGCAAAUUCGGAAUUGCAUCAUCUGUUCAACAGUGUGCUUAUGAUAUUUUCCAUACGUAUGGCUCAAAAUGUAACAUGCAGUCUAAUUUGCAUAGCCAGUUCAUUUUCUUGGAGCUUAUAGAUCUGUUCCAGUUAGUAAUUCAUUCUAGAUGAUCUCUGUAUUUUGUAGGACCUAUUUUUAAUUCAAUAGAUAGAUAGAUGUUUGUAGACAAGGUCUUCAGGAAUAACAUUUUAGUGUUGAUGUUCAGGUGUAGGUUCACAAGUUGAGGGAAGCUGCAGCCAUAAAUAAUCGAAAAAGUACCACACUUCACAGUUUUUGUGAGAUUCUUGAUCCUAGUUGAAGACUUAAUUUGGUACUUCCAUCGCGUGGCAUCGUUUGACUACAUUCUGAAUACCUCAUAAUUUGUUUCUAUCAUUGCACGGUUGUAUCAUAGGGAGUAAAAUAUAUUGUGGCGUGAUAAUGGAAAUUCUGAAAUUGGACUAUCACCACAACGGAAAUAUUGUGCUCUUUUGAGUGUGAUUGGUUUGACAACCGUGUACACGGCAAGUGGGUAAAAUUUGAUAUAUUUUGAAUCACAAAUAUGAACUCUAAGCAUUUAUUUAACUCUGGUGAGAAGUUGUCUGAUGAACCAUUAUUUCUGACUCCCCAAGCAACUCAAGCUUAUUCUGUCCAAGAUUCCAUUGACAAAGAUUCAUGUAGUGUUGUCCAUUCGAAGCCAGGAAUCCUUUUUGAUAUUCUUGGAAAAGAAAUGAAAACUUUGAGAAGGUUGAUGAACCUGUGAUUCUGUUCCUUGGUUUAGAUGCUAAUGUAAAUCUCCAGCCUGAUGUUCAAGAUGCACCUCGUAUUAGAAAAGAUGUAGAUGGACAAUUGUUUGUCAGGUUAAGAAGGAUAAAUAUGUAGCUUAAAUACCUCUUUUAAUAUUUUGUAAUGUUCCUCUACUUCAGGCUUGCCCUGUGCAUAAGACGCACUAUUGCUAAUUAUGUCUUUUAUAUUUAAGUAUUCCUGCAGAGUGCCUCUUUGUUCUUCUAUUUCAGAUUGCAUAACACUUGUACUAAUUCUGAGAUGAUAUUUCUUUUCAGGAAAAGAAUGGCAAACAGAGGAUAAAGAGAUGAUGCUUCUACAUAUAAAGAUUUGUGAACAGGGAAUGUAACGCUUGUCAUAGAGAGGUUGAAUGACUUCAUUCCAAGUCUUGCAUGAACAAGACAACAAGACAAAGGUGAUGGUCGCCCUUGUGUGUUGAUACAUCUUGUGGAUGCUAGUUUUCUUUAUCUAUAAAGCAGAGCUACGGCCUAAUUUCUUAAACCAUUAAUAAAAGAAAUCAAGAAAUGCUUAUAAACUAUGGAUGUAGCAACAUCAUGACCUUCCUGUAUGCAUCAUGGACCAAUAAAGGAAUUACAUCAUGACCUUCCUGUAUGCAUCAUGACCUUCCUGUAUGCAUCAUGGAUGUAGCUACUCUGUUUCUUAAACAGUUCUGCAGCUACUACUAAAACUUUGCACAGUUUGGACAACACAUCAUGGACUAAUAAAGGGACCACACAAGUACAUAUUCAGUAAACCAACAUUCUUUGAUUUUGAGCAACCUAUAUUCAUUUCAGCAAAUGAUUUAAGUGCCUGCAAACUCUUUUUCUUUUUGUUUGAUCAACAUUUUUUCUGAAACAAGCAGCAGAUUUAAUUAGAGGGCUGUUCAGUUGGUAUACAUUCUCAUGACUAUUGAUUCUCACUAUCUAGCACUAAUACACACUACACGGAACAAACAUGUACAAAAAAAACAGAGGACGCUGUGCAUUGCCACUGGAUUGCUAGUGAUUACUUGCAGUUUUUUAAUGUUCUAUUUACUUCACAGCAAUCAGGAGAAACUAAUACACCAAAAGAUCACUACUGAUAAAUAUUUAUAAUGAUAGGUUGUAUAGUGCAUAAUCUGUUCCUAUGACUACAUGCACACAUUCUGUUUGUGCCUUGUGGAAUGCAAAGUACAGGGCGACGUCGACACACAAGUAUCUUUUUCAUUUGGAUGAGUCGAUUUUCUUUUUCAGCCCGUGCAACUUCUAUGUUUGGAACAUGUGUUCAUCUGAGCUGAUCUAUUUGGUCAUUUCCUUUUUUUUAACAGGUCACCAGUAAUAAUGCCUUUGCAUCCACAAGGUUCUAGAGGUGUGUUUGGUGAGCUAAAAGAGUAUUCUGCUGGUUUCGGUUUUGUCCAUAAUGUAAAACCUUUACUUGUGAACCUACAAAUGUACUUAUGUGUGCAUGUAGACCUGAUGGAUGGUUGUGCUUUUGGCUGUCCUGUAACUAGACUUGUAUGCCCAUUUGUGCAUCCAGGCAUGCGUGAUUGAUCUUUGUGCUUUUGGCUGUCCUGCAAUACUGGACUUAUGAACCUAUGUAUGGAUGAUGGAGACUUGUGAACCUAUGUAUGGAUGAUGGAUUGCUUAUAUACACACACACACACACACAUUAUCUCUUAA
rnacentral:lncRNA from 1 species